CUAUUUUUCCUUAUGUUACCUGCUUCCUUCCAUUUCACUCUUUUGAUUGGUUAAUUAGUACUUGAGAAUGCAUUUUGUUGGUCUUAUUCAUCUUUCUUUUCUUUUUCACAACUUUUUUAAGAAGUCGUUUUUAACUUCAUAUUUUUUUUCCUUUUUUUUUAAAUUUCUUUUGACCACUUUCUUUAGUACCCCAACCCCAAAUUCAAACGUUGCUAAUUG
rnacentral:lncRNA from 1 species